AUUGAACGCUGGCGGCAGGCCUAACACAUGCAAGUCGAACGAGUGGCGGACGGGUGAGUAAUGUCUGGGAAACUGCCCGAUGGAGGGGGAUAACUACUGGAAACGGUAGCUAAUACCGCAUACUAUCGGAUGUGCCCAGAUGGGAUUAGCUAGUGGGUGGGGUAACGUCUCACCUAGGCGACGAUCCCUAGCUGGUCGGAGAGGAUGGCCGGCCACACUGGAACUGAGAAACGGUCAAGACUCCUACGGGGGGCAGCAGUGGGGAAUAUUGCACAAUGGGCGCAAGCCUGAUACGGCAAGGCCGCGUGUAGAAAGAGGGCCUUCGGGUUGUAAGGUACUUUCAGCGGGGAGGCGGUACUCACAGAAGAAGCACCGGCUAACUCCGUGCCAGCAGCCGCGGUAAUUC
rnacentral:rRNA from 1 species